rnacentral:rRNA from 1 species
UGGGGAAUUUUGGACAAUGGGGGCAACCCUGAUCCAGCCAUGCCGCGUGAGUGAAGAAGGCCUUUGGGUUGUAAAGCUCUUUCGGCUGGGAAGAAAUCGCAUGGGUUAAUACCCUGUGUGGAUGACGGUACCGGAAUAAGAAGCACCGGCUAACUACGUGCCAGCAGCCGCGGUAAUACGUAGGGUGCGAGCGUUAAUCGGAAUUACUGGGCGUAAAGCGUGCGCAGGCGGUUUAGUAAGACAGGCGUGAAAUCCCCGGGCUCAACCUGGGAACUGCGCUUGUGACUGCUAAGCUAGAGUACGGCAGAGGGGGGUGGAAUUCCACGUGUAGCAGUGAAAUGCGUAGAGAUGUGGAGGAACACCGAUGGCGAAGGCAGCCCCCUGGGCCGAUACUGACGCUCAUGCACGAAAGCGUGGGUAGCAAACA